rnacentral:rRNA from 1 species
AUUGAACGCUGGCGGCAUGCCUUACACAUGCAAGUCGAACGACAGCACGGGGCAACCUGGUGGCGAGUGGCGAACGGGUGUGUAAUGCAUCGGAACGUACCUUUCAGUGGGGGAUAACGUAGCGAAAGUUACGCUAAUACCGCAUAUUCUGUGAGCAGGAAAGCAGGGGAUCGCAAGACCUUGCGCUGAUUGAGCGGCCGAUGUCAGAUUAGCUAGUUGGUGAGGUAAAGGCUCACCAAGGCGACGAUCUGUAGCGGGUCUGAGAGGAUGAUCCGCCACACUGGAACUGAGACACGGUCCAGACUCCUACGGGAGGCAGCAGUGGGGAAUUUUGGACAAUGGGGGCAACCCUGAUCCAGCCAUGCCGCGUGAGUGAAGAAGGCCUUCGGGUUGUAAAGCUCUUUCGGCCGGGAAGAAAUCGCACGGGCUAAUACCCUGUGUGGGUGACGGUACCGGAAUAAGAAGCACCGGCUAACUACGUGCCAGCCGCCGCCGUAAAAC